rnacentral:misc_RNA from 1 species
AGCAGCCGCGGUAAUUCCAGCUCCAAUAGCGUAUAUUAAAGUUGUUGCAGUUAAAAAGCUCGUAGUUGAAUUUCGGGGUUAGCAGGUCGGUCGUGCCAUCGGUAUGAACUGGUCUCGCUGAUCCCUCCCUCUUGACGAACUGUGAUGCCAUUAAUUUGGUGUCGCAGGGAAUCAGGACUGUUACUUUGAAAAAUUAGAGUGUUUAAAGCAGGCUCACGCUUGAAUACAUUAGCAUGGAAUAAUGAAAUAGGACGUUUGAUCCUAUUUUGUUGGCUUCUAGGAUUGACGUAAUGAUUAAUAGGGAUAGUUGGGGGCAUUAGUAUUCAAUUGUCAGAGGUGAAAUUCUUGGAUUUAUUGAAGACUAACUACUGCGAAAGCAUUUGCCAAGGAUGUUUUCAUUAAUCAAGAACGAAAGUUAGGGGAUCGAAGACGAUCAGAUACCGUCGUAGUCUUAACCAUAAACUAU